GGGCGCGUAGCUCAGUUGGUAGAGCAGCUGACUCUUAAUCAGCGGGUCCACGGUUCGAGUCCGUGCGCGCCCACCA
rnacentral:tRNA from 6 species